rnacentral:lncRNA from 1 species
CCUGUGGCCAGUUGGGGGCAGCAGAGGGCAGCAGAGCAGGAAUCACGAGGUGCUGGCAAAGAGGGCGGGUGGUGCUGCAGCUGCAGUGAGAGGCCCUGGGUGGAACGCGUGGCCACUGGGUCUGCUCUGCCCCAGAUCUCCAGGCCACACUUUCUGGACUGGCCUGGAUUAGACAGCAAAGACGUGGGAACUGCUUCCAGAAGGCCAGUGGAGAGAACAUGUCGGUAACAGUGUGACAACAUGGUGGUUCCAAGUGACAGACUCAAUUUGAACCAGACAAGGCAAAAAGAAGACUAUGGCUCACGGAGCCCGGGUUUCAGGGACAGUUGCAACCAGGAACUCCAAUGCUAUCAGGACCAUCUCCCUCCUCUCUCCGUGUUGGAUUUAUCCUUUCCGCCUGCAGAUUUGUUCCUUCCAGGGACCGGAACCACUGCCACCAGCAACUUUUGGCUCAGAUGUUCUGUGAUCUGUUGUUUUCCCUCAGUUCUGAUGGGACAAACCUCAGGGGAGGACCUUCCAUAGUCUCAGCGUAGUGCAGUCAUGCUCUCCCCUGUGGCUGGGGGUGGCGUCCUCUGACUGGCAGCCAGGGCUGCAUCCGGAGCACUCUCCAGGUGAAGGGCUCUCUCUGUGGAGGAAUAGAUGGGCGCCAUUCACAUCAACACAGCCUGCGGCGGUGUCCAACACCUUCCCUUCGGCACAACGGCACCAGCCUAUGUCUCUGAUUUGUGAACUGACUUUCAGAAAUCAGGGUGGCAACUUCACCCACCCCUACUCUUCCUGAAAUGAAGGGACAGUGUCCUAGGAGGACCGCAGCGUGUCUCUCCAUCUUUUUUUGUUUGUUUGUUUUUUGAGACGGAGUCUCUCUCUGUCACCCAGGCUGGAGUGCAGUGGUGCCAUCUCGGCUCACUGCAACUUCUGCCUCCCGGGUUCAAGCGAUUCUCCUGCCUCAGCCUCCUGAGUAGCUGGGAUGACAGGCGCGCGCCUCCACGCCCGGCUAAUUUUUGGAUUUUUAGUGGAGACAGGAUUUCACCAUGUUGGCCAGGCGUUUCUCCUGACCUCAGGUGAUCUGCCCGUCUCGGCCUCCCAAAAUGCUGGGAUUACAGGCAUGAGCCACCGCGUCUGGCUGUGCCUCUCCAUCUUAAAUUCACCUCUCUGCCGGUUGCCUUGGUGAAAGUGGAUUCAAGGAAGGGGUCAUCAUGAGAGAGUGCCUGAGCUGAAGGGCAGGAGAGGAGAGGAGGGGUCUGAGCACCUCAGCGAGGCCUCAAUUAGGAUCAGCAAAUAAGAGAUUGUUGCAAAUGUUCUGCAAGAUGCAUUGUAUAGAGCGAUUCACUGUGUGCCUGACAUUUCCUGAUAGCCCUGAAAGCUAAGCAGGGGCUGCUUAGCAUUGCAAUAAAUGUCACCACCUGAACAUUAUUAGUGGUGUCUUCUGACCUGCCGGGUUAUCUGAUGAACAAACCAAGACUCAGA